UAUUGGUGUGUACGCCGUGCCGACAGAAAGUGUGGUGCUUUUUCUGUGUAUUAAUGAUCCAAAACGCCUGGGACCGCGUAAUGUAGCGUGCAGUAUCUUUCGUGUGCUACGCCGAUGAUUAUCGUAGUUAGGCCCGUUCGCACUUUCUUUGUUCCUGGCUCGUAAAAAGCCUCAGGUACUCUCGCUGAGCUCGCACCGGAUCACAGCGCACGGAAGAACUGGUUGAAAGUGGUGCUAUCACGUGAUAUUAGUUCAUCUACAAUUGUACAGUGCUUACGCUGGAUGGGCCGUGCACCGACGGUUCUUGCCGCGGUACCUGUACGAUGCCGCGGAACCUGUGACACGAAGGAGUGGUUGCCGAGUACGCCUAACAGGAAAGUCACGAUUUUGGUGAGCCAGAGGCAUCUCUACACCCCAUACGAACCUCCGGCACUUCUGCAACCUGACAACACGGCAAAGCGUCUGAUCUGCAUGCUGCGACAAGAAUAUACAUGCAGCAAGUUCAAGUGCGCAGACCUCAAAUUGAAGAGGGCAUAGGCUCCAUGCUGCAGAAAAUGGGGUCCAAGAGCGACUCCUCUUCCAAGGAAUCAAGUGGCGAGUAGAUAUUCUGACUCACUACUUCAUCGUUCGUUGUGCUGGGGCAGGCACUGUGACACACAAAGUUAGUGGAAACAAAGCACAUGACAAGUGAAGCGCAAACUGUCAACUGAGUUUGGUGAACAAGAAGGAAGAACCUAUACCCGAAGCCACUAUCAUCAGCUGGCUGCGGUUUAUAUGUGCUAAAAAGGUGGAGAUAAGAUAAUCAGAAUGAAUCAGAACUUACAAGGUGACCCACUUGAAUCAUAUCGAGCCGAUAAUAUGUUGGAAAUUGAGUGACUAUAAGUCAGAGCCACAGACGGCUCGCUCACGCAGGCUUCAGCACCAGCCACAACUGUGCAAAAUGAUUCCCAUAUCUCUCAUCACUUUGCGCUUGCUUCUGACGAGGAUUUCCGCACUGUGAAAAAAUGGUGUGCAACCGCAUCUCGUGCAGUACACAGCCAAGUUGCCUGUGCAUUUACUAGGCUGGGAGCAUAUCUGUGAUCCCAGUGCUUCAGAUUCCAGCACCAGUGCACAACGUAAGCGCAGUUGCAUGUGAGCGGUACUUUGUAAAUGACUCCCGCUUCGCACGCAACAUGUCCCCAAUUUUUCAUGUGCGAAGAGUACCGCUCACAUGCAACCAUAUUUACGUAGGAUAAAAGUGCUGGUGCUUGAAUCAGUGUCUCGGGGAGCACAGAUAUACUUUCAGCCCAGUAAAUGCCCCAGUCAACUUAGCUGCGCACUGCACGAGAUGCGGUUACACACCGUUUUUUGAAAGUACGAAAAUCCUCCUCAGAAGCAAGCGCGCAAAGUGAUGAGUGAGGUAGGAGAAGCAUUUUGCAUGGUUGCGGCUGCUGCUACAGCCUGCGUGAGUGAGCCAUCUGUGUCUCUAUCUCAUCACCUAACUCAAUUUCUAACUUAUCACCUCUACAUAAUUCGAGUGGGUCACCUGGUCGGUUCUGAUUUGUUGUUAAUAUCUUUUUUCUGCCAGUGUGCAUGUAACAUCCAGCUGAAACUAGCGGCUAUGAGUAUAAAUCCUUAUUCACUAAACUAGGCUGACAUUUUGCGCUUUACUUGUGUGUUUUAGCUUCCACUAACUUUGUGUGUCACAGCACAACAAACGAUGAAGCUAAACUAGAGCCUUUUUAAGCAUUGCUUACCUUACUCACUACUUCAUUCCUUGGAUGACAUAUUUUUGGUUCGAACCUGGCCGCCAUGAAAAAAUUACAGACGAAUAAAGAGUGCAAAAAAUACUAUUGCGUCUGUUAUUUCAUUGCAUGUGUGCAUGCAUGCCAGUUCCCGAUAGGUGGGCUACAGAGGUUCUGACAAAUGUCUGCUCAUUUUCUGCAUCCUGUGACCACAGUCUCGACAGACUUUCUGCAGACAUUCUGCAUCCUGCGGCUACACAGGCUCUGCAGACUUUCUGCAGAAAGGGUGUACCAAUUGCCCGCUGGGAGGUGACAGGAAGUGACAGAAAGUCUGUCACCUGUCUGCACGUAUUCUGCAUCCCGGGUGACUCAGAGUCUGUAAGAUUUCUGCAGCAAUACUGCAACUUUUUUUG